GAUAGACUGCGGCACAUGUUUACGUUUCUUCUGUAUAGGCAAAGGCAGGGGUUCUUCUGGGCUUCUUGCGACUACAGCACCGUCAUGUCUCGGUACCAUCGCCUCCAUGCACUCUCCCCGCUCCUCUUUGUAGUAUAUUUAUGGUGAUGUAACUUCCGAUUUUCAUAGAAUAAUUUUGGUAUUUUCUGGUACCAGUAAUACUCAUUCUUUUUUGACGUGCUAAAAUGUUAUGCAAAUACUAGAUUUGGCUAAUUCUGAUUUGUGCAUCUAUUCAUUGUUCCAUUGAUUUUUUUUAAAUUGAUGUGCCCUCCUAUGGCACUCUUUAAAUAUAUUUUUCUACUGAUCUUGAUGUAUACACAGAAAAAAAGGGCACUGAUGUCACGUGAACCCCUUGCAAGCAAAAAUAAGUUGCUGAAAUUUUGCCAUGAUUUGUCUUUCGUCAUGCUUCCCAUGGACAGAUUAUAAAACGCCAUGUGCCGCAGUCUAUGAUUCAUAAGAUAAGAAAUAAAAGAGGUAUGGGGGUUAGGAUUCUUUUGCCAACUGUUUUUCUCUCUAUCGGUAUUUUGAUUUUCUUCAUUUGUAUUUCUCGUGUAGUACUCUCGCCAUUCAACGAUCGCGCACCACGUGAUGUGUCUAACAGUAGCAACAGCCAGCUGAAGCCUCGGCUUUGUCAGGAGAAGGGAGGCAAGGUUUCACGACAUCUACAAUGCAGUCAGCUACAGAAGAAAAGAUACUGGUGUAACAACAGUAUUUACGUACACCGGAGAUCCCAGAUCAAUUAAGGUCUGCAAACAUGCUAUUGAGUUUGCGCAGAACAUACAAUUUUAUUAACCAUGUUGUCAGACCAUUCAGGAAGACAAUUCUAUAAUCCACAUGAUGUAACUUCUGCUCUUUCAUUCUCUUUUUAGGUUCACAUUCGCACAUAUCUUAUUAUCAUGCAUUGCUGAAGAUGUCCGAUGAAUUUACUUUGUAAAAUUGCAGAAGUUUGCUUUCAUGAAUGAUGAUGUAUAGAAAUGGUUAUACAUAUAUAGUAAGAAAUUUAUUUUUUAGAUCAAAAUAUCUACACAUACCAUGUAAUAUUUUAAUUAUGUUCUCUCUUUCUCAUUCUACAGGCUCAAGUGUCAAACUACAAAUUCUCCUGCUGUGGAAUUGUUCGGUAGUGGCCCUUCACUCAGCAUUUGAAUUGGUCAAUAGCUACCUCCCGAGUUAUUUACUAGGUGGAGACCAGAUUCGUUGCUUAUUAUGAGCGACUAGAUAGAUGAACAUUCCGUAAGUUUGGCACCACCUCAAUUUAUGCCACUUUCGUAAAGCUACUGAACAGAUCAGUGGAUUACUUUGUUAAUCUUUCAGCAUAGGUCCAAUACAUAAUAAUUGUCACAAGUGGGAGCUCUCGAAUGAAACAUGUAAGAUAAAAUUAAAUACUACAUAAAUGUUUAGAAGGUGAAACCGUACGAUUCUAUCAAGACUAAUACCAUUUGUUUACUACCUAUUGUUGCAUGGAUCAAAGUAAAUGUACAUGUCAGUUGUGAUGGAGAUUUUGCACAAUCAAGACUUGGGUUAUAGCUAGGUGGUGAUGUUAUAGUUGAAGCUUGAAUAUUCGUUCUGCGGGUCUCCGGUGUACCUAAAUACUGUUGUUCGUCUAUUCUCUAGACUUUCAAUGAUAUAAUCUAGGAAGGAUCGAUCUUGCCUAAGUGCCUAUGUAGCACUACAGCCAUAUCAUUCUGAUAUAUGGCUAUCAACAGAUAAUCAUUUAUUCAUUAUUGUGCUGGUACUUUUAGGUGAGUUGUUUUGCGGAGUAACAUAUUUAUUUAGACAGUAGUUCCCGUAGCAACGCGCGGGGAACCAUCUAGUUAGCAUAAUUAGUAUGUACCCUCUGUCCUGAUUUAUUCGUUCUUAUCGUAAUCUGUGCCAAAUUUUGAC
rnacentral:lncRNA from 1 species